GAUACAGCUAAUUGAGUUCCUGAUAUGUGAUCAUUUAUUGCCUUGGGCGGAGAAUGAAGCAUUUGAAACUGUUAUGUUUGAGGAGUGGAUAGCAUCAAUAGUCCAUGCGAAGAAAGCAGUAGCUGCUUUGGAAGAAAGAAACGGAUUGUAUCUUCUCUACAUGGACAGAGUCACAGGGGAAUUAGCUAAACGAGUUGGUCAGAUCACAUCUUUCCGGGAGGUGGAGCCAGCCAUUUUGGACAAACUCUUAGCCUACCCAGAAUGACACCUUUCUAGGUCACGGCGAUGAGGAAGCUGGUUUGACGAGGAAGCUUGGAGUAUUCAUAAAGAAAAGGGCAAGAUUCGGGAGACCUACCACCACCACCACCAGAUCUGCUUCUGCAACAAGUUCGUCAAGCUCCUUCCACAUGAUUGCUUGCCUUGCCACCUCUUUCCUGCUUUUUCUCCUUUUUUAGGUUUCUUCUACUGUCAAAAGUAGUUUUCUUUUAUUUUACUUUCUCAACAAGAAUUGCUGUAGUAGACCGUAGACUGUAGACAGUACCACGCUUUUGCAACGUCAACAAGAACUCUUGCGUAUAAAAAAAACUCACAUAAAUUGAGUUAUACA